UACAGAGGCCCCAAGCGUUAGGCGGAAUCACUGGGCUUAAAGCGUGUGUAGGCGGACUUCUAAGUACCUUGUGAAAUCCCCGGGCUCAACCUGGGAACUGCAUUUGUGACUGCACAGCUGGAGUGCGGCAGAGGGGGAUGGAAUUCCGCGUGUAGCAGUGAAAUGCGUAGAUAUGCGGAGGAACACCGAUGGCGAAGGCAAUCCCCUGGGCCUGCACUGACGCUCAUGCACGAAAGCGUGGGGAGCAAACAGG
rnacentral:rRNA from 1 species